ensembl:lncRNA
GUCCGUGUUGAGUUUCAAACUAGCAACUUUUGGGUUACACAUGACCAACCACCUUCCUUAAAUGAUGGCCUUUAUUAACUUUCUGUCUUAUGUAACCAUAGCAAACAUAACAUACUAAUUUGAGUGGCCCGGAUUUUCGUUUACUAUGUUGCGUUUUGUCCAAGAGACCAGCCUGUCAACGGCUAAAUUCUUCCGUCAAGUUUCGACAGACCAAUUUACGUUAGCUUACACGUCGCCCUGAGUGAAACAGGUAAUGUAAAUCAGGAAGCUACUGGUUGGUCACCGCCAUUAAAAAUAUUUUAACCUGGGAUUUAAAAAAGGCAAAUAUCGUGGUUUUGGUAACAACAUUUAUCCAGAAAUAUUUAAGGCACAUCUUUUUGUCGUUUUAUCAGGGGACAUGCGGCUCACUACAAUUUGCGCUGGAGUGCUCCUGGGAAUUGUGAUUUUGUUACGCCUCAACCUGUCAGGGAGCCAAUUUGUUUUCAGCACUUUUCUUCCCAUGACUGAUCAAAACUCGUCCUCUCAUGGCUCUCUUGUCCCUCUGCAGCAGACAUAUGGUGAGCAAUAUGUUUGGAACAUGAAAUCCCAAUAAAAUCACAGUAUCGAAUCACAAUACAUAUAGAAUCGUGAGAAUCGUUUAUACAUAUUGUAUCGGCACCUAAAUAUCAUGAUAAUAUCGAAUCGUGAAGUCGAUGGCAUUUCCCAGAUGUGUAAAAUAUGUGUGUCUGUGUGUGUGUGUGUUUAUUGUAUUGCUUUAUUUCACCUUUAUUUAACCAGGUAGGCCAGUUGAGAACAAGUUCUCAUUUACAACGGCGACCUGGCCAAGAUAAAGCAAAGCAGUGCGACAAAAACAACAACAGAGUUACACAUAAACAAACAUAUAGUCAAUAACACAAUAGAAAAUCUAUGUACAGUGUGUGCAAAUGUAGAAGAUUAGAGAGGUAAGGCAAUAAAUAGGCCAUAGAGGCUAAAUAAUUACAAUUUAGCAGUAACACUGGAGUGACAGAUGUGCAGAUGAUGAUGUGCAAGUAGAGAUACUGGGGUGCAAAAGAGCAAGAAGAUAAAUAACAAUAUGGGGAUGAGGUAGUUGGGUGUGUACAGGUACAGUGAUCGGUAAGCUUCUCUGACUGCUGAUGCUUAAAGCUAGUGAGGGAGAUAUGAGUCUCCAGCUUCAGUGAUUUUUGCAAUUCGUUCCAGUCAUUGGCAGCAGAGAACUGGAAGGAAAGGCGGCCAAAGAAAGUCUUGGCUUUGGGGAUGACCAGUGAUAUAUACCUGCUGGAGUGCGUGCUACGGGUGGGUGUUGCUAUGGUGACUAGGGAGCUGAAAAGGUGGGGCUUUACCUAGCAAAGACUUAUAGAUGACCUGGAGCCAGUGGGGUUUGGUGACAAAUAUGUAACGAGGGCCAGCCAACGAGAGCAUACUGGUCGCAGUGGUGGGUAGUACAUGGGGCUUUGGUGACAAAACAGAUGUCACUGUGAUAGACUGCAUCCAAUUUGCUGAGUAGAGUGUUGGAGGCUAUUUUGUAAAUGACAUCGCCGAAGUCAAGGAUCGGUAGGAUGGUCAGUUUUACGAGUGUAUGUUUGACAGCAUGUCAAGGAGGCUUUGUUGUGGAAAAGGAAGCCGAUUGGAGAUGGUUAAUGUGAGUCUGGAAGGAGAGUUUACAGUCUAACCAGACACCUAGGUAUUUGUAGUUGUCCACAUAUUCUAAGUCAGAGCCAUCCAUAUAAACAAAAGGAUGUAGAAUAAUUUGAUAUUGAGGGGACCUAAAGAUAAAGGGUAAAAGAUAUAGCAGACAGGCCAGGGUUAUACUGAGCUGAGUUGUCGCUACAGUUUUUACGCCAGAUAAUGUGAUAUAAUUAAAGCUUGUUGGUGUCUGUUAGUGGACGUUACAGGUUUGCCCAUACAGACUGCCACCAUAGAUUCUUCAACUAAGUCGGUAUUCUGGAAAACCGUUAUCUUAUAAAUGUCUGUGUCCAGAUGCAGGUGGUUCUACAAACACCAGAGAAAAUCCAUGUUUUGCACCACGUGAGGAGUCCUCGCCAUUUUAGCUGCUGCACAUCUAGCAUUUCCUAGAAUCUUUACCUGAACUAGUCAUUUAUAUGUUUAUUUUACCUUUAUUUAACCAGGCAAGUCAGUUAAGAACAAAUUUUUAUUUUCAAUGACGGCCUAGGAACAGUGGGUUAACUGCCUGUUCAGGGCCAGAAUGACAGAUUUGUACAUUGUCAGCUCGGGGGUUUGAACUCUCAACCUUCCAGUUACUAGUCCAACGCUCUAACCACUAGGCUACCCUGCCGCCACCCAUAUGUGACGCGGGCACGGCCACGUGUAGAAGUAGAUGACAAAGAUCGAAACAAAGAUCUGCACACAUGUAAGAGGCAUAUCUCACUUGAUACAGAACAUGGAUUUACUGUUUACUACUAUUUACUAUCUUGUUCCUGACACACCUCUUAUUUACAUUCAUGUUCUCACAGUCUGAGGUCAUUGUGAGCUGAGCCUCCACAGGACAUAUGGGUGAUUCCUCACGAAACUACGAGAAAAAAAAGCUGUCAUCAAGGCAAAGAGUUGCUACUUUGAAGAAUCUCAAAUAUAAAAUAUAUAUUUGUUAACUUUUUGGGUUUCUACUUGAUUUCAUAUGCGUUAUUUCAUAGUUUUGAUGUCUUCCGUAUUAUUCUACAAUGUAGAAAAUAGUCCAAAUAAAGAAAAACCCUGGAAUGAGUAGGUGUCAACUUUUGAAUGGUACUGUAUACAGUGCAUUUGGAAAGUAUACUUUACGAAUGCACUGUACACUACAUGGCA